CGCAGAAUCACACAACUUCUAGUUUUCUUCCCUUUCUCUUUCUUUCCCCAAUAUCUAAUUCAUAGCCCAUUUAAAUUACAGGCCAAUUUUCGGCAGAGACUCGCAAAAGAAUUCGAAGAGCACAACCCAUUCCGUAUAAAAUGCAUUCGAGGUAAAACUUUUUCCCCGUUAUUAGUUUUUUUUCUAGGGUUUUAAUUGUUGUUCCUUGUAUUUUUGGGAUUAAUAUGCGGAAUAUGUAUUGGAUUUUCGAUUUCUUUUCUGAUGAAAUUAAGAAACUUCAUUUUUUUUUGUGGUAUUAGUUUAUUGAACACAUCAAUUUGUUCAGAUUUAUUUGCACACAACUCAAUUAUAUUGAUUUUGAGUUAUUUUUAGAUGGAAUUGAAAUGAGUUAUGUUCUUUUGUUUUUCAACUGUAAUGAGUGUAAUGUUGAAUUAAUAAUGUUUAUAUUUCAGUUUAUUGAAGACGUGUAUAGUCUAUUCCUUGAAUCAAUUUAUAUAUAAUUUUGCAGCCCGUAUAAAACUUUGUCUAGUUAAUUACAUCUUAUAUCUUUCAUUUGAGUGAAUAUAUAUAUAUAUAUAUAUAUAUAUAUAUAUAUAUAUAUAUAUAUAUAUAUAUAUAUAUAUAUAUAUAUAUAUAUAUAUAUAUAUAUAUAUAUAUAUAUAUAUGUGUGUGUGUGUGUGAAUGAAAGUGUUUUUCAUCAUACUAUUCGUAGACAGACAAGUCAUGUUGUCAACGAAUUAUUGUCUUUACUUCUAAUAACUCUAAUGAAAGUCUUAGAAGGAUAAACAUUAUGGUUAGAAUUGUAGAAUUGUUUCUCUUAUGUUAUAUUCCCACCGAGUUGUCUAGUGUUUGGGCAUUUAUGAGAUGUUGCUACAGCUAUUGAGUCCAAAUAAAAAUGUUAAAAUUGAAACAAAAUUGGUUGAUCUUUUAUUUCGACCGAGUUGAAAGAACAAUAAAAACAUGUUAAUCUUGCAUACCUUACAAAUAAGAGGUAUAUAGCAGUUCCCUUUGUUGAUAAAGUAUUGAAAAAUACUUAGUAGUGGUUUCUUGUUUUUUAGUUCCAAAGAGUUUUUUUAAUUAUAGUAACUGCUAUUUUUCAGCUUUUAAAAAGGUCUGUAGGUGUUUCCAACAACUUCAGCGAGGUGGUACCUAUUGGAUAAAUUGCUCCAAUGUGCUCUACAAUGUGAGAUAAAGUUACUUAUUUCGGUACAUUGGAAUAAUUUGAUCUCCUCUUUCUAUUAAUUUCGAAGAAUUAUUACUUGUAGCUUAAGUGGUUGUUAUAUUCCUUUACUUCAGUUGGCUUAUGAGAAGAUUGUUACUUUGUCAAAUUCUAGAUUUAUAUAUGAGAUGGUGCUUAGCAAAGGUAAAGAGUUAACUUUGUUUGGUUUUUAUUCCAUAUAAUGUGAGUAUGUUUCAUAUAUAAUUACUGAUAAUAAGUGUUUUCAUUCUUGCAUAUUUAGAUGAUAGGGGCUACAAACAAAAGAUAACAGAUAAUACGGAUGCAUCAUUUUACUUGAACAGGAGUUUCGCUCAAGGGUAUGUAACUGUUUUUCUUUUGUAAGUGUAGAUCCACUAAAAUACGUUUGUUUGCUCUAUUAUUUUGUUAAUUGAAAUAAUUUACAUGUAUCAGUUAUAAAUUGAAUUGUAGCAGUCAAAAUAACCUAAACAUGCAGUAAAUUGCUGAUUGAGAGAUGUACUUCCAGAAAUUUGCAGAAACUUCAUCUGAAGGUUUGUCCACUAAGCAUAAUUAUACUAUUGGUACUAAAUCAUAAUUUAUCUUGGUUUGAUUGAUUACUUUCCUUCACUUGGAAAUUGUUGUUGAGAUUUUCUAUAUGUUCGAAUUUAUGAAUACCAGGUCUGCAGAUGAAUGGCAUUUUCACGAGUGGAAGGGUACAACUGAGUACAAGAAGCAGUCCAGAACAUUUAUAAUUAUUCUAUUUUGAGUUACCAUGAUAUCAAAACUUAUGCCAAUAGAUGUAACCUCGUGAGUUGAGUAUGGUAAAAUACAUUUGUUCUUUUUGUUAAAAUAUACAGACCCCAUGUAUAAUUGGGAAUUUUGGUGGUGAACAAUAGUUUGACAGAUACAAGUACACAAAACUCGUAAGGCUGUUUUUACUAUCA
rnacentral:lncRNA from 1 species